rnacentral:rRNA from 1 species
UAGGGAAUCUUCCACAAUGGGCGCAAGCCUGAUGGAGCAACACCGCGUGAGUGAAGAAGGGUUUCGGCUCGUAAAGCUCUGUUGUUGAAGAAGAACGUGCAUGAGAGUAACUGUUCAUGCAGUGACGGUAUUCAACCAGAAAGUCACGGCUAACUACGUGCCAGCAGCCGCGGUAAUACGUAGGUGGCAAGCGUUAUCCGGAUUUAUUGGGCGUAAAGAGAGUGCAGGCGGUUUCUUAAGUCUGAUGUGAAAGCCUUCGGCUCAACCGAAGAAGUGCAUCGGAAACUGGGAGACUUGAGUACAGAAGAGGGCAGUGGAACUCCAUGUGUAGCGGUGGAAUGCGUAGAUAUAUGGAAGAACACCAGUGGCGAAGGCGGCUGCCUGGUCUGUAACUGACGCUGAGACUCGAAAGCAUGGGUAGCGAACAGGAUUAGAUACCCUGGUAGUCCAUGCCGUAAACGAUGAAUGCUAGGUGUUGGAGGGUUUCCGCCCUUCAGUGCCGCAGCUAACGCAAUAAGCAUUCCGCCUGGGGAGUACGACCGCAAGGUUG